rnacentral:rRNA from 1 species
AGUGAACGCUGGCGGCGGGCCUAACACAUGCAAGUCGAACGGCAGCACAGUAAGAUCGUGCUCUUACGGUUGGCGAGGGACGGGCGGGUGAGGAAUGCAUCGGAAUCUACUUUGUCGGGGGGGAUAACGGAGGGAAGCUUACACUAAUAGCGCAUACGAUCUACGGGUGAAAGCAGGAGUUAAUGAGAGCUUGCGCGACUGAAUGAGCCGGUGUCGGAUUAGCUAGUUGGCGGGGUAAAGGCACACCAAGGCGACGAUGCGUAGCCGAUCUGAGAGGAUGAUCGGCCACACUGGAACUGAGACACGGUCCAGACUCCUACGGGAGGCAGCAGUAGGGAAUCUUCGGCAAUGGGCGAAAGCCUGACGCAGCAACGCCGCGUGAGUGAAGAAGGUCUUCGGGUUGUAAAGCCCUCUUGUUGGGAAAGAACAGAUGUAGAAGAAACUCUCGCUGUCCUGACGGUACCCAAUCAAUAAGCAACGGCUAACUUCGUG